CCUCCCACGCCUCUCGACGAAGCGCACCAUGGGAGGC
rnacentral:sRNA from 1 species